CAGCCGCCGCGGGAAUACGGAGAGGGCUAGCGUUGUUCGGAAUUACUGGGCGUAAAGCGCACGUAGGCGGCUUGGUAAGUUAGAGGUGAAAGCCCAGGGCUCAACCCUGGAAUUGCCUUUAAGACUGCCGAGCUAGUAGGUGAGAGAGGUAAGUGGAAUUCCGAGUGUAGAGGUGAAAUUCGUAGAUAUUCGGAAGAACACCAGUGGCGAAGGCGGCUUACUGGCUCAUUCUAGACGCUGAGGUGCGAAAGCGUGGGGAGCAAACCGGAUUAGAUACCCCGGUAGUCCCGUCUCUUAUACC
rnacentral:rRNA from 1 species